rnacentral:rRNA from 1 species
GACGAACGCUGGCGGCGUGCCUAACACAUGCAAGUCGAACGGUGAAGCGCUUUCCUUUUUGGUUGGUGUGGAUGAGUGGCGAACGGGUGAGUAACACGUGAGUAACCUGCCCCCUUCUUCUGGAUAACCGCAUGAAAGUGUGGCUAAUACGGGAUAUUCUGCGCCUGCUGCAUGGUGGGUGUGGGAAAGAUUGUGCCUUUGGGUGUUUUCGGUGGGGGAUGGGCUCGCGGCCUAUCAGCUUGUUGGUGGGGUGAUGGCCUACCAAGGCGGUGACGGGUAGCCGGCCUGAGAGGGUGGACGGUCACACUGAGACUGAGACACGGCCCAGACUCCUACGGGAGGCAGCAGUGGGGAAUAUUGCACAAUGGGCGCAAGCCUGAUGCAGCGACGCCGCGUGAGGGAUGGAGGCCUUCGGGUUGUGAACCUCUUUCGCCAGUGAAGCAGGCCUGCUCCUUGUGGGUGGGUUGACGGUAGCUGGAUAAGAAGCGCCGGCUAACUACGUG